AUUGAACGCUGGCGGCAGGCUUAACACAUGCAAGUCGAACGAGUGGCGGACGGGUGAGUAAUGCUUGGGAAUCUAGCUUAUGGAGGGGGAUAACUACGGGAAACUGUAGCUAAUACCGCGUACCAUAGGAUGAGCCCAGUGUGGAUUAGGUAGUGGGUGAGGUAAAGGCUCACAAAGCCGCCGAUCUCUAGCUGGUCUGAGAGGAUGACCAGCCACCCGGGGACUGUGACACGGCCCAUACUCCUCCGUGAGGCAGCAUUGGGGAAUAUUGAGCAAUGGGGGCAACCUGACGCAGCCAUGCCGCGUGAAUGAAGAAGGCCUUCGGGUUGUAAAGUUCUUUCGGUAGCGAGGCGUUAACUACAGAAGAAGCACCGGCUAACUCCGUGCCAGCAGCCGCGGUAAUUC
rnacentral:rRNA from 1 species